UACGUAGGCAGCAAGCGUUGUUCGGAGUUACUGGGCGUAAAGGGUGUGUAGGCGGUUUUUUAAGUUUGGUGUGAAAUCUCCCGGCUCAACUGGGAGGGUGCGCCGAAUACUGAAAGACUAGAGUGCGGGAGAGGAAAGUGGAAUUCCUGGUGUAGCGGUGAAAUGCGUAGAUAUCAGGAGGAACACCGGUGGUGUAGACGGCUUUCUGGACCGUGACUGACGCUGAGGAGCGAAAGCGUGGGUAGCAAACAGG
rnacentral:rRNA from 1 species